rnacentral:rRNA from 1 species
GAAUAUUGGACAAUGGGCGGAAGCUUGAUCCAGCCAUGCCGCGUGCGUGAAGAAGGCCUUUUGGUGGUAAAGCACUUUAAGCGAGGCGGAGGAGCCCGUGGUUAAUACCCAAGAUGCUUGGACGUGAAUCGCCGCAUAAGCAGCGGCGAACUCUGUGCCGGCCGCAGCGGUAAUAGAUAGGGUGCACGCGUUACUCGGAUUUACUGUGCGUAAAGCGCGCGUAGGUGGCGAAUUCAGUCAAAUGUGAAAACCCCGAGCUUAAGUUGGGAAUUGCAGUCGAUACUGGUUGGCUAGAGUAUGGGAGAGGAUGGUAGAAUCACAGGUGUAGCGGUGAAAUGCGUAGAGAUCUGGAGGAAUACCGAUGGCGAAGGCAGCCAUCUGGCCUAAUACUGACACUGAGGUGCGAAAGCAUGGGGAGCAAACA